CAUAUACCCAGCAAACAUGCAUAUAUGGGACCCAUAUGGGCUAUAUCUAGGCAAGCCCAUAUGGGUAUGCCCAUAUUGGACCUAUAUGGGACCAAUAUGGGCAAGUCCAUUUGGGUACGCCCAUAUUGGACCCAUAUGGGUCCCAUAUUACAGCACUAUAAGGAAAAACGAUUUUUCGUUUAUUUAUUUCUUUAGAACUUGUUUACUUUGAGCUAUAGUGUGACCACCUUGGCAUAAAUUGCUAUUAUCUUUUAUAAAAAUCGUAGCAUAAACAUAUAUACAAGCCAUGAGGGACCCAUAUGGGUCCCAUUCGGGCAACCCAAUAAAUAUUAGCAUGCCUGAGCAGGUGCGAGAAAUUAAUUUGUUUAGUUUUUAUAUUGGUUUUAAUUUUUAUAAUCUAAAUAUAAAAAUGUGUUUUUAGACUAUUUAUUCAGAAAUAAUUUAUAAAAAUCAGCAUUUGAUGAAAAAUUUAUUUCGAGCAUGCGCAGACGUGAUUUCCGCUGCCGCUUAAAAUCAAAUUGUGUAUUGAAACGUUAAAUUGUAAAAUUGUACAUGAAAACAAUAUUUCAUUUCAAUUCGGAACAUUUAACGACGAUUUCGUAUAACGACCUUUCAUAUUAUAUCCUUACAGAUUUAUUGUGUGUGAAGGCCAUCAAAAAGGCUGUAUGAAUCGGAUAGUGGCACUGAUGAGAAUGAGACAGACACAGAGAGUAGGCCACCACAAGUUAUUGACCAAGCAACAACGCCCAAAGAGUCACAAAGCCUACUUUCAUCUCCGCCUCGCUUAUCUGCACAGGCAUUGCUAGAGGCCAGCAGUGAUGUGCAAAGUGCUUCUCCAAUACAAGGUGCUUCUGAUACACCCUUCCGUGGGCAGAUUAUUGGGCCCACUGCUGUUACACAGAUUCUCCGAGUCUUGGAGACAAUGCGAGAGAAGAAUCGUGAAAUUAAGAGGAUGGUGCAGCGAAUGCUGUUAAGGUCAGCAGCAGAUGACCAACCGCUGCAACUUCCGAAAGAUAUCUCAUUCCCUAUUCGUUAUCCUGAGCAGAUGGAAGCAUUCGAUAAGCUUCUGGGAGAUCAGACAAUGCUCUCAUCUGUGGUGCGGUUCCUCUCAAUGUUUGGUAUGGCAGAUGUACGGGAAACUGUUGACCGCUUGAUGAAAGAAAUGAACUGGCAAUAAUGUACAAUAUGAAGUGGCUGAAGGGGAAGAAAAAGUUUGUGGGCCUCUAGAUACUGAAUGUAUUGUAUAAAUGUGUCCAAAGGAACUUGCCGACAAAGGCUGCAACGAGGAAGGAUGUUGAAAUAGAGGUUUCAAAGUGGCUGGCUGGGGCGCGGGACCGCGAUGGGGGAAGGAAAGCAAGAAACAAAGUGUCAGAGACCUUACCUGAAGAAAAUGAAGGAAGUGACUAGACAUGUUUUUAAUUUAAAAAUGCAAAUUUAUAGAGGAUAUUUGUUUGUUUGUGUGUAAGAUGAAAUUUUAUAUCAUCAAGAGAGCUUUAAAAACAGUAUUCUCAUGAGUGGCUAUGCGCUCGUGAGAACACUGUUUUUUAAAGUUCCUUCAAUGAUAUAAAAUUACAUCUUACACAACAAACAAUAAAGUGUCUUUUUAUUUUAUGCUAAUGCAAUUUCCUCAAUAUUAACGUUAAUAUUAAAUCUGUUUUCUCCACUGUUAACAUCAAUUUUAGUUGAAGUCCAAUUUCUCAUAAAUACAGGAAGUCUUGGGCUGAA